AUUGAACGCUGGCGGCAGGCCUAACACAUGCAAGUCGAGCGGAUGAAGGGAGCUUGCUCCUGGAUUCAGCGGCGGACGGGUGAGUAAUGCCUAGGAAUCUGCCUGGUAGUGGGGGAUAACGUCCGGAAACGGGCGCUAAUACCGCAUACGUCCUGAGGGAGAAAGUGGGGGAUCUUCGGACCUCACGCUAUCAGAUGAGCCUAGGUCGGAUUAGCUAGUUGGUGGGGUAAAGGCCUACCAAGGCGACGAUCCGUAACUGGUCUGAGAGGAUGAUCAGUCACACUGGAACUGAGACACGGUCCAGACUCCUACGGGAGGCAGCAGUGGGAAUAUUGGACAAAGGGCGAAAGCCUGAUCCAGCCAUGCCGCGUGUGUGAAGAAGGUCUUCGGAUUGUAAAGCACUUUAAGUUGGGAGGAAGGGCAGUAAGUUAAUACCUUGCUGUUUUGACGUUACCAACAGAAUAAGCACCGGCUAACUUCGUG
rnacentral:rRNA from 1 species